rnacentral:rRNA from 1 species
UGGAAGUCGAACGGAGAAUUUAUUUCGGUAAAUUCUUAGUGGCGAACGGGUGAGUAACGCGUAGGCAACCUGCCCUUUGGAUGGGGACAACAUUCCGAAAGGAGUGCUAAUACCGAAUGUGAUCCAUUUCUCGCAUGAGAGAUGGAUGAAAGAUGGCCUCUAUUUAUAAGCUAUCGCCAAAGGAUGGGCCUGCGUCUGAUUAGUUAGUUGGUGGGGUAACGGCUCACCAAGACGAUGAUCAGUAGCCGGUCUGAGAGGAUGAACGGCCACAUUGGGACUGAGACACGGCCCAAACUCCUACGGGAGGCAGCAGUGGGGAAUCUUCCGCAAUGGACGAAAGUCUGACGGAGCAACGCCGCGUGAGUGAUGAAGGUUUUCGGACUGUAAAACUCUGUUGUCAGGGACGAAGGUGCGAUCUGCGAAUAGUUGAUCGUAUUGACGGUACCUGACGAGGAAGCCACGGCUAACUACGUGCCAGCAGCCGCGGUAAUACGUAGGUGGCAAGCGUUGUCCGGAAUUAUUGGGCGUAAAGAGCAUGUAGGUGGGCUUUUAAGUCCGAUGUGAAAAUGCGGGGCUCAACCCCGUAUGGCAUUGGAUACU